GGCGUGGACACAAGUGAGCCCGCUAUAAAUCACAGCCACAAGUGUUGGCUUUGUGUUGACGGGACCUCCGGCUACACAUCUUCGUCUGCAACACACAAAACGUCCUUGGAAGACGCACAUAAACAGGAUGCAAGAGCCGGGGGGUGAGUCGGUGUACUAGUGUGCCUCUGGCUGGGUUUUGGGGACUGGGCUCCUUGCUGGGGCUUGCGGGUCGCUGCCAGUGGACAAAAUGCGUGCUCUGCGGCAGUGGGAGUCAAGUGGAGGCCACGCAGGAUACUCGGUAGAACCUCUACACCUGGACAUGAUGUGUUUGGAUUUCUGCUCCUCCAAUUCAUCUUGACGUGACCAUCAAAAAAGUUAUUAACUGUACAGUAAGUCACAUUUUAACAUCCUUACGUGUCAUACAGGUGUAAAAAGUAGUGAAUCACCGAUUCAUUCAUUACUUUAACAUCUUCCUCCUCAAGCAGCUUCUACGGGCCCCGCCCCCUCCACUCAGGAUAGCGGAGAAAUCAGGCACUAA